GUCCCUGUAGCGCAACUGAUAGUACGUUGGACUUUUAAUCCAAUGUUGUGGGUUCGAACGCCACCUGGGAUG